UCUCUGGUAGUAUAUCGGAUAGUACAGCCGCCUGUCAUUAGCAUAAUCUGCUAGGAUCGCGGCAGAGCUGGGUUCGACUCCCAGCCAGAGAG